rnacentral:rRNA from 1 species
CGGGUGCUUAACGCGUGGGAAUCUGCCCUUGGGUUCGGAAUAACAGCGGGAAACUGCUGCUAAUACCGGAUGAUGACGUAAGUCCAAAGAUUUACCGCCCGAGGAUGAGCCCGCGUAGGAUUAGCUAGUUGGUGGGGUAAAGGCCUACCAAGGCGACGAUCCUUAGCUGGUCUGAGAGGAUGAUCAGCCACACUGGGACUGAGACACGGCCCAGACUCCUACGGGAGGCAGCAGUGGGGAAUAUUGGACAAUGGGCGAAAGCCUGAUCCAGCAAUGCCGCGUGAGUGAUGAAGGCCUUAGGGUUGUAAAGCUCUUUUACCCGGGAAGAUAAUGACUGUACCGGGAGAAUAAGCCCCGGCUAACUCCGUGCCAGCAGCCGCGGUAAU